CGCUGGCGGCAUGCCUUACACAUGCAAGUCGAACGGUAACAGGUCUUCGGAUGCUGACGAGUGGCGAACGGGUGAGUAAUACAUCGGAACGUGCCCAGUAAUGGGGGAUAGCUCGGCGAAAGCCGGAUUAAUACCGCAUACGCCCUGAGGGGGAAAGUGGGGGACCGCAAGGCCUCACGUUAUUGGAGCGGCCGAUGGCUGAUUAGCUAGUUGGUAGGGUAAAGGCCUACCAAGGCGACGAUCAGUAGCUGGUCUGAGAGGACGAUCAGCCACACUGGGACUGAGACACGGCCCAGACUCCUACGGGAGGCAGCAGUGGGGAAUUUUGGACAAUGGGGGAAACCCUGAUCCAGCAAUGCCGCGUGUGCGAAGAAGGCCUUCGGGUUGUAAAGCACUUUUGUCAGGGAAGAAAUCCUUUGGGCUAAUACCCUAGGGGGAUGACGGUACCUGAAGAAUAAGCACCGGCUAACUACGUGCCAGCAGCCGCGGUAAUACGUAGGGUGCAAGCGUUAAUCGGAAUUACUGGGCGUAAAGCGUGCGCAGGCGGUUGUGUAAGACAGGUGUGAAAUCCCCGGGCUUAACCUGGGAAUUGCAUUUGUGACUGCACGACUAGAGUGUGUCAGAGGGGGGUGGAAUUCCACGUGUAGCAGUGAAAUGCGUAGAUAUGUGGAGGAACACCAAUGGCGAAGGCAGCCCCCUGGGAUAACACUGACGCUCAUGCACGAAAGCGUGGGGAGCAAACAGGAUUAGAUACCCUGGUAGUCCACGCCCUAAACGAUGUCCACUAGUUGUUGGGGAUUUACUUCCUUGGGAACGUAGCUAAAGCGUGAAGCUUGACCGCCCUGGGGGAGUACGGCCGCAAGGUUUAAAACUCAAAGGAAUUGGCGGGGGUCCCGCACAAGCGGGUGGAUGAUGUGGAUUAAUUCGAUGCAACGCGAAAAAACCUUACCUACCCUUGACAUGGCAGGAACUUUCCAGAGAUGGAUUGGUGCUCGAAAGAGAACCUGCACACAGGUGCUGCAUGGCUGUCGUCAGCUCGUGUCGCCCCCCCCUGGGUUAAGUCCCGCAACGAGCGCAACCCUUGUCAUUAGUUGCUACGAAAGGGCACUCUAAUGAGACUGCCGGUGUCAAACCGGAGGAAGGUGGGGAUGACGUCAAGUCCUCAUGGCCCUUAUGGGUAGGGCUUCACACGUCAUACAAUGGUCGGUACAGAGGGUUGCCAAGCCGCGAGGUGGAGCCAAUCCCAGAAAACCGAUCGUAGUCCGGAUCGCAGUCUGCACCUCCCCUGCGUGAAGUCGGAAUCGCUAGUAAUCGCGGAUCAGAAUGCCGCGGUGAAUACGUUCCCGGGUCUUGUACACACCGCCCGUCACACCAUGGGAGUGGGUUCUACCAGCAGUGAAGGGUCUAACCGCAAGGAGGACGGU
rnacentral:rRNA from 1 species